AAGGCGAUCAAGCUUGACUCCGACCUCCAAAAGCUUGGAUUGAGCAUUGUCUCCAAGCCUGUGUCCGUUCUUGAUCCUGCUUUCUAUGUCCUCCACCAAUCUGGAAACCUCUUGUGCUUCUCUCAUCCAUGCAUCCACAAAUAGAGAGUUUUCACUCAUCUCUCCAAGACUUUGCAAGACCCUGAAACUACACACUUCCAAGUUCCACCUCGCUCUCUUUAAGCUUUAUGGGUCAUUUGCUAAUCUGAUAAAUCUCCAAUGAGGACAAAACAAUGGAGUUUGCACCCAUCUGACUAUCCAGCUAAGAUAGCGUAAUAAUUAAUGAUAAUUAUCAUCGUUCUUACGAUACAGAUGGCAAGCAGGAUUUCAUUAAUUUGCAUUAAUGAUUAGACUAAACUUUGUGUUACUGCCUAAUUUGGCAAUUAAUUGUCUAAUCAUACUACGUAAUAGAUCAUGGUUUGAUAAUCAUCACAUCAUUGUCUGGUGAUUUUUGAUAAGUAGCUCAUUAGUUGUAAAAGAUGACAAAAUGUUGAGGCUAUUCUGGUGCAGAACCAGACUUCAAGAAAGAAUCAAAUCAAUCAAGA
rnacentral:misc_RNA from 1 species